CCUACGGGUGGCAGCAGUGAGGAAUAUUGGUCAAUGGACGCAAGUCUGAACCAGCCAUGCCGCGUGAAGGAAGACGGCUCUAUGAGUUGUAAACUGCUUUUGUACGAGGGUAAACGCAGAUACGCGUAUCUGUCUGAAAGUAUCUUACGAAUAAGCAUCGGCUAACUCCGUGCCAGCAGCCGCGGUAAUACGGAGGAUUCAAGCGUUAUCCGGAUUUAUUGGGUUUAAAGGGUGCGUAGGCGGUUCGGUAAGUUAGUGGUGAAAUCCCGGGGCUCAACGCCGGCACUGCCUUUGAAACUGUCAGGCUAGAGUUUAGUUGCGGUAGGCGGAAUGUAUGGUGUAGCGGUGAAAUGCAUAGAGAUCAUACAGAACACCGAUUGCGAAGGCAGCUUACCAAACUACGACUGACGUUGAGGCACGAAAGCGUGGGGAGCAAACAGGAUUAGAUACCCCUGUAGUC
rnacentral:rRNA from 1 species